GGGUAUCGAAGAGCCCUCUAACAUCAGAGAUUCUCCCAAGGGGAGUGGUGUUGAGCUCUCUAACAUUGGGGAGCUCUGCCAGCUCCUUGCCAAGAUGCUGGCCUAGCUUAGGACUCCCUUGGCCUUCUAUGCCUUCCCUUUCCCUUUGCUCCUCCCAUUCACUGUAGAGUCCAUUCAGGGUGCAUGACCUGGGUGUUGCUACCAGCAGAGGUGAGAGAAAGAGAAAAAUGGGAGAAAGACAGAGCUGCCAGGGAGACUCAGCCCCCUUCUCUCCUGGGAUCCUUCUUUCUCACCAUCCUGAGUCUGCACCCUGAUCUACCUGUGGCCACCACUGAGGGUCUCCUAGGGGCUUGGCAGAUGGGGACACUAGGCUGCCAGCAAGGGGCAGAGGCCUUUGUCAGAGUAAGCAGGAGAGAGAGACAGAGAGAGAGAGAGAGAGAGACCUAGUGUCCUUUCUUCCCUGAAGUAAAAGACUCCUGGCUUCACAUGCCUUCCUGGCCUUGGGCCUUGGUAACUUAGAGCCUGAGGGUGAGCCUGGAGUGAUGGGGACUAGAGGCACAGGGGUUUCCUGGGGGUAGGACAUAGAGGGAAUCAGCCUGCAGGGAGGUCAAAAUGCUUUGAACUCGGGCUGCAGGAACCUUUGAGAAGUGCUCAGAACUCAGAUUCUAAGGACACCCUAGCGAAGUGACUGAACUGAGGCUGUGGGACCUUUCUGGGAAAUGUGCGAAAUUUAGGCUGCAGGGGCUCACUGAAUUCAG
rnacentral:lncRNA from 1 species